GGCACUGGUCAUUCUAUAAAGAGUUCUCAGG
rnacentral:piRNA from 1 species